GGGGGGAAAAGCUGUCACCAAAAUGGGACCAGAAAGACAGGCUCAAGUUGCCACACUGAGGGUCAAUGCCUUCAUAACUGACGACUUCAAAGCAUUAUGACCAACAUGCUGCUGAAGGGUAAACUGACCAGAGGAAGCACUCAAUAUUUCUGGAUUAUUUUUGAACACAAAUGCCUAUUAUAACUCUACUGAUCAAGGUUGGGCCAAGAGAGACCCUCGCUAUCCAGCCAUCUCUUGGACUUGAUUUGCUAAAACUCUACUUCUUUUUCUCAGAAGUGAUCAAUUGAGGGUGAAGAAAAUGAGACAGCAAGGACCAAAGAAAGAGCCAGACUUGUCAAGUUGCAGUGAUCGUAUUUUAUUGAAAUGAGAAGAUGGAACUAACGGAUGGAAGAAUGCACACCUGAAUGUGUCAGCGGAUGGGGGCUUUGAUGAUGCUAGACUUGUGUCUACAAGGCAGGGAGAAUUUUCGUUGGUUAGUAUCAUUCAGGGCGGUUCAUAUGGGCUAUACUGAUGCACAACCAGCUGUUCUAGCAGUCCUAAUAGGUGCUUUCUUGACUUUAUCCAAAUGUCUCCGUAUUCCCCCAAAUCCAACCAAGCUCUCUCAUUAAGUCUCAGCCAUUGUGACCAUCAUCUAUCACAGGUCCUUUUACCAAGAGGGCCCAUGUCAUGGCCACAUGUCUCCAUAUAUAAAAGGGAGUGGUGAGUGGGCUGCUUGGGACAAAUAGAGAUGGAGUGAGGGAGGGGGAGCUGACCGAGGCUGCUGUUUCAACAAGAAACCCACUGCUGGCCAGAGUUGGGAAAUGUAAGAGGAUGGUGAAAUCCCAUAGACAUAAGUGUUCAAGAUGCCAUCGAAAGGACUUACCACAGAGACAGAAAGCAAUGAAGUUAUGUCAGGAAAAACCCAAGAAGCCAAGUCAGCUACAUAUGCCAUUGUCCUGAUUGAAGAAGAUGAUUGAACCAGUGUCUUUCAAUGUCAUGUUUUCUUUCAAGGUCGGCAGAAAGAAAAACCUCUUUUACUUCAAGCCCAAGACCACCACCAUCAUCACUGACUCCUCUUCUCUGCCCCAGGGUCUCUAAAUAAACUUUCUCUCCUUUCACUGACAAACAGUGUUCUGUUUAGUUGGAGAGUGACCUGUGGCAAUCUGGAAAACUGCCCCCACCUUUUGUUAGUGUUAUAGAGCAAGUGGAAUGUGAUGAAUAGAGGCAUAAUCAAGUGAGUCAGGAGGAAAGAUGUAGUUUUCUCCUUUGUUCCGGUUUAAGAGAUUUGCUAAUGAAAUGUGUGUUUGGGUUGUGGUUUGGGAUAGGUUGUAAGGGUUUCUGGCUAUGAAAAGAGCCUACUUGUUUUUUGAUGGACCUUCUAAACUGGCUGGGCUGGAGGGUACAAUAACCAGAAAGCUUGUAACCAGAUCAACAUUAGCUCAUACUUCUAGUUUCACUUGUUGGUAAUUAGUUAUGAAGAUACCCAUUUUUCUAGAAAC
ensembl:lncRNA